GCCAGCAGCCGCGGUAAUACGUAGGGUGCGAGCGUUAAUCGGAAUUACUGGGCGUAAAGCGUGCGCAGGCGGUUUUGUAAGACAGGCGUGAAAUCCCCGGGCUCAACCUGGGAAUGGCGCUUGUGACUGCAAAGCUGGAGUGCGGCAGAGGGGGAUGGAAUUCCGCGUGUAGCAGUGAAAUGCGUAGAUAUGCGGAGGAACACCGAUGGCGAAGGCAAUCCCCUGGGCCUGCACUGACGCUCAUGCACGAAAGCGUGGGGAGCAAACAGGAUUAGAUACCCUGGUAGUCCACGCCCUAAACGAUGUCAACUGGUUGUUGGUCCUUAGCUGGAUCAGUAACGAAGCUAACGCGUGAAGUUGACCGCCUGGGGAGUACGGCCGCAAGGUUGUAACUCAAAGGAAUUGACGGGGACCCGCACAAGCGGUGGAUGAUGUGGUUUAAUUCGAUGCAACGCGAAAAACCUUACCCACCUUUGACAUGGCAGGAAGGCUUCAGAGAUGAGGCUGUGCUCGAAAGAGAACCUGCACACAGGUGCUGCAUGGUUGUCGUCAGCUCGUGUCGUGAGAUGUUGGGUUAAGUCCCGCAACGAGCGCAACCCUUGCCAUUAGUUGCUACGAAAGGGCACUCUAAUGGGACUGCC
rnacentral:rRNA from 1 species